GAUGAACGCUGGCGGCACGCUUAACACAUGCAAGUCGAACGAUUAAAGCACCUUCGGGUGUGUAUAGAGUGGCGAACGGCUGAGUAACACGUGGGCAACCUGCCCUUCAGUUCGGAAUAGCUACGGGAAACCGUGGGUAAUACUGGAUGAUCCACCUCCCUCGCAUGAAGGAGGUGGCAAAGAUUUAUCGCUGAAGGAUGGGCCCGCGGCCUGUUAGCUUGUUGGUGAGGUAACGGCUCACCAAGGCAGUAAUGGGUAGCCGGGUUGAGAGACCGACCGGCCAGAUUGGGACUGAGACACGGCCCAGACUCCUACGGGAGGCAGCAGUGGGGAAUCUUGCGCAGUGGGCGAAAGCCUGACGCAGCGAUGCCGCGUGCGGGAUGAAGGCCUUCGGGUCGUAAACCGCUUUCAGCAGGGACGAGGCCGCAAGGUGACGGUACCUGCAGAAGAAGCCCCGGCUAACUACGUGCCAGCAGCCGCGGUAAUACGUAGGGGGCGAGCGUUAUCCGGAUUCAUUGGGCGUAAAGCGCGCGUAGGCGGCCUGUUAGGUCAAGAGUUAAAUCCGGGGGCUCAACCCCCGUCCGCUCCUGAUACCGGCAGGCUUGAGUCUGGUAGGGGAAGGCGGAAUUCCAAGUGUAGCGGUGGAAUGCGCAGAUAUUUGGAAGAACACCGGUGGCGAAGGCGGCCUUCUGGGCCACGACUGACGCUGAGGCGCGAAAGCUAGGGGAGCAAACAGG
rnacentral:rRNA from 1 species